rnacentral:lncRNA from 1 species
GAAAAGUGGGAGGGAGUAAAAAUUUUGGGGCAAAAUAAAAGGUUUUGAGGGUUUUUGCGAGUAAAAUUUUGAGAAAAAAUAAAUGGGAGAGUAAAAUUUUGGUGGGAAAUGAAUUUUGGGUAGAUUGGGGGGUUGGGAGGAGAGGGGAGUAAAAGUUUUGGGGGAAAAGUGGGAAUGAGUAGUUUUUGGAAAAAGUAAAAAGGUUUGAGAGUUUGGGGUAAAAAUGUAAAAUAUUAUAGUUUGAUAUUCGAAUUAUUCGAAUUAUUCGAG